AUCGCAGUCUGCAACUCGACUGCGUGAAGUCGGAAUCGCUAGUAAUCGCGGAUCAGCAUGCCGCGGUGAAUACGUUCCCGGGCCUUGUACACACCGCCCGUCACACCAUGAGAGUCGGGAACACCCGAAGCCCGUAGCCUAACAGCAAUGAGGGCGCGGUCGAAGGUGGGUUCGAUAAUUGGGGUGAAGUCGUAACAAGGUAGC
rnacentral:rRNA from 1 species